UCGUGUGGGAAUUUUUUUUAUAUAUAUAUUAUUCCAUAUCAAGAUUUUCAUUGGUAAAAUAUUUCUCUUUUCAAACCUAUCUAUGUCUCUAUGUUGCAAGGGUGGAAAUGGAUUGGAUAAGAAUAUUCAAUUCUAUUUAUAAUAUAUUUAAUUUUAUAUAAUAUUUAUGAAUUUUUAAAAAAAAUAAUUUAUUAAAUUAAU
rnacentral:lncRNA from 1 species